UACGGAGGGGGCUAGCGUUGUUCGGAAUUACUGGGCGUAAAGCGCGCGUAGGCGGAUUUUUAAGUCAGAAGUGAAAGCCCGGGGCUUAACCUCGGAAUUGCUUUUGAUACUGAAUAUCUAGAGUAUGGUAGAGGGUAGUGGAAGUCCUGGUGUAGCGGUGAAAUGCGUAGAUAUCAGGAGGAACACCAGUGGCGAAGGCGGCUUUCUGGACCAAUACUGACGCUGAGGUGCGAAGGCGUGGGGAGCAAACAGG
rnacentral:rRNA from 1 species